rnacentral:misc_RNA from 1 species
UCCGGCUUAUCACCGGCGGUUUCCUUAGAGUUCCCAACUAAAUGAUGGCAACUAAGGACGAGGGUUGCGCUCGUUGCGGGACUUAACCCAACAUCUCACGACACGAGCUGACGACAGCCAUGCAGCACCUGUGUACGGCCCCUAAGGACACCACAUCUCUGUGGCUUUUCCGUACAUUUCAAGCCUUGGUAAGGUUCUUCGCGUUGCUUCGAAUUAAGCCACAUGCUCCGCCGCUUGUGCGGGCCCCCGUCAAUUCCUUUGAGUUUCAUUCUUGCGAACGUACUCCCCAGGUGGGUUACUUAUCACUUUCGCUUAGCCACUCAGCCUUACGGCCGAACAGCUAGUAACCAUCGUUUACGGCGUAGACUAC